rnacentral:rRNA from 1 species
CGGACGGGUGAGUAAUGUCUGGGAAACUGCCCGAUGGAGGGGGAUAACUACUGGAAGCGGUAGCUAAUACCGCAUAACGUCGCAAGACCAAAGAGGGGGACCUUCGGGCCUCUUGCUAUCGGAUGUGCCCAGAUGGGAUUAGCUAGUAGGUGGGGUAACGGCUCACCUAGGCGACGAUCCCUAGCUGGUCUGAGAGGAUGACCAGCCACACUGGAACUGAGACACGGUCCAG